rnacentral:ncRNA from 1 species
AUAAAAACUGUGAUGAGGAAAGUAGUUUUAUUUAGAUUUUUAGAGAGCUUUGGUGUGGUGAAACAAAGUAGUCGAUGUAAAAUGAAAAUGGCCUUUGAGUUGUAUUUUCGAGCAUAUGUUAGAGAGUACUGGGUUCGCCCAAUAUAGCGAUAGACUAUGUUAGUAGUUGAUGAGGUUGAUUUUCUGUGAAGAGUCAACGAAUAAAGGUGGUAUCACGAAGUUUCGUCCUUUUG